GCUUGAAUGACGUCCCGCCUCCAACAACAAGUUUCGUGUUCGACUCAACGCGGACUAUUCAAUAAUUGUACAUGUCCUGAUAAAUUAUAAUAAGAAAGAGUAAGACCCCAGUAAAUAAAUAUGUUAACAUAAUAAUAACAAUUUUAAUAAUAAUAAUAACGUUUUCUCUACGGGUAUGCCGUUGUUCUAUUAUAAUUAUGUUAGGGACUAUUUUCCUCAGCGGAAGGUUACCCGGCGAAAUAGCAGAAGAUCAAGAAUGCUUUGGGCACGUGCAUUAGGCGGAUAUGGCACAAGGCGAUGUUGUUAUGCUUUUGGACUCCAAGGCUUAGGAGAGGAGCCAGAUGAGGAAGCACGAUUCCGGGAACAGGAAGAGGUCGCUGGAAUGGAUGCCUGAUGCAGGGAAGCUGGAAGUUAAUGUGACUGUAGAUUCUGAGCAUCUCAGAAAGCCGAUAAGUACGUGGCUUCAUGACCAGAUCCUCAAAGGGGCAGGUAGAGUUGAAAUUGAAGAAUGUCAUUUGACAUGGGUAGACGAAAAGGUCGAGGCAGGAGGGGAACUCCCGAGAAUCCAUCAGAGUGAGAACAAGCUCUUCAGGAAGCACCUGUAGAACUCUUCUGUUUUUCCCCUGGGACACAUAUCACCCUUCCUUAAAUGCGCUUUACUUGCUCUUAUCUGCCCCCUAUUUUACUGCAUUUAAUUCUGUACUUCAGAGUACUAUAAUCUGUCAAGUGUUUAAUCUGUUGUAUUUUGUAUUUAAUUAUAUCCUGAUGUAACUAUCACUGACACUGUUAUCUGCUGUAUUAUUGAAUUGUAUUUUGUCACACUUGUACUUGCUUGAACCAAAGUCAUUGUAUUUAUCUUGCUCUUGAUUGUAUUAUUACUUGCACUGUGAUUCUUGAAAUGUAUUUGUUUACGACUGUAAGUCGCCCUGGAUAAGGGCGUCUGCCGAGAAACAAAUAAUAAUAGGAAACCGGCUUAAAAAAAGAGACAGAACUUGUGGUAUUAUACUGCCAUCCAGAGGUUAAGAUUAACUCAUUGACUUGAGUUAAGCAGGGUAGAAUAUAUGAGGUUAUUACGAUUAAAAAACGUUGUCUAUGUAGAACAACAUUUGCUUAUUCCCUUAGAUUUGAAUAAUAAAUAUUCUAGACAUGUUAGGACAGUUAGUCAUGUAUAUAAAUAAGUUAACGCGGUAUUUAGAUGUCAUGAUUCGGCGCGUUUAAUUCGUCUCCACCAGUUGUCAAAGCGCAGCAACAGGAAGCCAGAAGACUGCAGUACUGAGGCACAGAGCACGCAGAGCCUGAUGAAGCUACCUGAUCACCAUGACAACUUACCACUCCCCACAGUCAGUCAAUGAGGGCGUUGCCGUGGUAACCAUGGUCUGAAAGGCGCCAGUGGAAAGGUUGCAGUAUGGCACUAUCGUUGGAGCAUGUUGUGACCAGUCAAACCACGAGCCGCCACUGGUUGAAACUUAGUUUGUAAUGGGCAGGAUACGUCUUUUAAAAGGUUGAACGUAGCUGAUGGAGGUCCAGGGCAGGAUCAUCUGAUGGAACGGUAACUGUGCUGGCUCUGUGGGAGUUGGGGGAGGGGCGUCUGAUUGCAGACGAGGAGUAAAUAGAGAUUCCGCAGACAAAGCUUCGUGGUGGAUUUAAUAGAGCUAAAGUAAGGCAAUUGCUGACAAUGGGAAUGUCGAUGUCUUGUCGAAGGAGCUUGAAAGUUUAGCAGAGAACCAGUCUUUCUGAUAAAGUUGCAGACAAGUUGAGUAAUGAAGCUGCGCUUUGGACGGCGCUGUUGCUGAGGUGGAGACUGGAUGGAACAGGAAAGACUAACGUUGGAGCUCCUGGAGCCGAAAAGAGAAGCUGACUGAAAAGAAGGAUCACCUGAGCAGGUAGGAAAAUGAUUGAUAAUAUCUUGGCAGCGCUGUGCAGAGAAAUGACCUGCAGUGAGCGAGGCAAUGAAGUUUAGAUAUUUAACGGUGGAGCACGAAACGACGGCGUCUGAGCGUUUGCUACGAAAACGAAACACUAGACAGAAAGGGUGCAGGUGAGCAGGGCUUAAAUAGAAAAUAGAUACUAAUUGACAGAGAAUUAGAACAUUAGAAGAUUAGACACCUGCUCCACGCCCCCUGAACCACACAAGCUAACAUUUAAAAGGUGGUUCUUUAUCCAAAUAGAUAUUUCAGCAAAAAAAAAUAGGAAAAUAUAAUACUAUACCUAUAUUGGUGGAGAAAUCACAUCAGACUUAUGGUUAUAAUAAAAUAUGGGGUCCAUAAUGUACAAAUUCAGCACCUACCUUGAUU